rnacentral:rRNA from 1 species
UAGGGCGGGACGGGGUGGAGUAAUGUCUGGAACGUAGCCCGAUGGAGGGGGAUAACUACUGGAAACGGUAGCUAAUACCGCAUAACGUCGCAAGACCAAAGAGGGGGACCUUCGGGCCUCUUGCCAUCGGAUGUGCCCAGAUGGGAUUAGCUAGUAGGUGGGGUAACGGCUCACCUAGGCGACGAUCCCUAGCUGGUCUGAGAGGAUGACCAGCCACACUGGAACUGAGACACGGUCCAG